AACGAACGCUGGCGGCAUGCCUAACACAUGCAAGUCGAACGAGACCUUCGGGUCUAGUGGCGCACGGGUGCGUAACGCGUGGGAACCUGCCCUUAGGUUCGGAAUAACUCCCCGAAAGGGGUGCUAAUACCGGAUAAUGUCUUCGGACCAAAGAUUUAUCGCCUUUGGAUGGGCCCGCGUUGGAUUAGCUAGUUGGUAGGGGAAAAGCCUACCAAGGCGACGAUCCAUAGCUGGUCUGAGAGGAUGAUCAGCCACACUGGGACUGAGACACGGCCCAGACUCCUACGGGAGGCAGCAGUGGGGAAUAUUGGACAAUGGGCGAAAGCCUGAUCCAGCAAUGCCGCGUGAGUGAUGAAGGCCUUAGGGUUGUAAAGCUCUUUUACCCGGGAUGAUAAUGACAGUACCGGGAGAAUAAGCGCCGGCUAACUCCGUG
rnacentral:rRNA from 1 species